UUUCAGGAUUCUGAAUUAAUCUCAAGAAAAUUCAUUGGUUACAGACAGGGUUCUGAAGAAAAGUAUUGAAUUUUGUAAGAUUCUCGAAGUUGAGUAUGAAGAAAUCUAUCGUAUCUUUUCUUUUAGGAUGCACAAAAACAGAGUAAGUUAAACUAUGGAAUCACAUUCUAUUUGCUGACAUUCUAAUUCAUUGUCACAUCCUUGACACAAAUAAUUAUAAAUACCACAUAUUUUACAGUCUGACUCGUGUGUAGUUACAGUUUAAUAUUAUAUAAAUUUACUUAAGAGACAUCCUGUUUUUCCUUAUUAGGAGUGACAUAUAAGAUAGCCAAAUGGGUAAGGUAUGGUAUAUACUAUUGGCAAUCAUUUCUUAAGUAUAUGUUACAAAAGUAUCUGAUUCUGUCAAGUGGUACUAUUGGUGCUUGAAUAUCAACUUUCUACUCCACUGUAGGUAUUUCACAAAAACCAAUUGCUCUUUACAAUGCCUCAUUUCUAUCUUUAUGUGGUUAAUUAAUAACAGAUCUUUCUGAAAAAGAUUGUGCUUUGUGGUGCAGUAGCAAGCCAAUCCAUAUAAGAUGUACAUCUGCUGAAUAUUUGCACAUCCAGAAUUAAGCAGCAUAUAAUUAGUUUUUCAUCAUCCUUGCACAUGUCCAGUCCUUGCUGGACGAAUGCCUCAAUAUGUUCUCUCCACCAACCAGUCUGAUGUUUUCCUCAUCCAUGUUUGGGUGCUAAAGAAUUUAACAAAGUUUUCAUUCCAACUUCUGCAUGGUCUUCCCCUCCUUUUCUCUGGAUGUGGUAUCCACUCUGUCAGUUUGGUAUUCCAUCAAUUGUCCUUUCUUCUGAACAUAUGUCCUGUGAUAGACCAUUUCAGAGUUUUUAUUUUCUAGAUAAUAUCCAUUAAACCUGUUGCCACUCUUAUCCUGUUGUUUCUCCACAUCCAUUUUGCUAAUCUUUAGCAUUCUCCUUUCCAUAACUCUUUGUGUUGCUCUUACUUUAUUUUUAAAGCUCUUGUUAGUAGUCCAUGUUUCUGAUGCAUAUGUAAUGGUAGGCAGUACACACUGGUUGAAGACUUUUCUUUUUAAACACAUGGACAACUUACACUUCAUGAUGUAAUUCAAUUUACCAAAGGCUGCCCAUCCUAAUGGCAUUCCUCAUUCAAUUUCUUUGGUCUGAUUUUUAGCCUUUAAGCAUAUAAUUUGUUCAAGAUAGGUGUAUUGGUUUACAUGUGAUUAAUUAAAAAAUACUUAACUUGAAUUGUUGUACCUGAAAAAAAAGUUAAGAUUUAUAAGUUGAACAUAUUUCAAUUUAUUUAUAGCCUAAAGCAUUUUGGUAUGUUUGAAUCACCUUUUUUUACUUAUAAUUCUUACAAUCUCUAUGUCAGCCAUCUUAAUAUUGUUGUGCAGCACCAUAGCACAGAGUGCAACCUAUGAGUUCAGCACUUUUGGUGUGCUAUGUUUGAGUAUAUUGUAAUGUGACCUGGCCAGGUCUGGUUUGAUAACCUCUCUCUAUUGAUACAACAUAAUGAAGCAGUGGGUAAUUUGGGUAUGCUGUGUUUUUAAACACUUAUUUGAGCUUAUUAUUGAAGAUUUAUUGAAAACAGUAAAGAUGAACAAGAAAAGUGCUGUGUUUUGGUAUAAAUUCCUUGAAAUUUAUCACUUGUAACCAUGUAACCUGGUAUAGGAUUUAGGUAUAUUGCAGCAAUUAACAUUGCAUAUAUUUUGCUUCGUUGGUUGUCCAGAUUAGGUAUCAUUCUACUAUAAUAUUGUAAAGUUUGUACCAGUGGAGUAGAUUACUGAGUUGAACUGUAUUCUUUACAUUAUCUCAUCUUUCACAUUAAUAUGUUUCACUGAGGCAGUGGAGCGGCACAAACGGUAACACACCAUAUUAAAUGCCUUUUAUAUUUAAAUUCCUGUCUCUCCAUUCUGAGUUCAAAUCAUUUCAUGGUCAUCAAAGCCAUUCAUAUUUCGUCCAGUCAAAUAAUGGUGUUAAUGUGAGGUCUUACACUUAUGUAAAUAAUCUACCCUCUGAAUUCUAAUUGGUAAUUCAGAAGCUACUGCACAAGUAACCUAACUAGUUGAUGUUUUCUUGAAUCAGACAUAUUUUUCUGAACAAUAAUAUCAAAAGUGUCUUGUUAAAAUAAUAUGUUCAUUUUAGAUGACUUGUGACAUGACUCGUCAUGGUUUACAAGGGAGGCAACCACUUUGACUGAAGCCAAGAUUUCACAGAAAAGUAUUCAGAGAUGAUAAUAUUAUUGAUUAUAUUACAUGUAAAAACAUUUAUAGAUUAGUUUAUUGAAAUGAAUGAUCUUUGAAGAUUUUUCCAUCUACUGAUGUCUGGUUAAGAGUUCUGGAAUGUCAACUAAAGAAACAUGUCAAAAGAUAAUGCUUCUCACUAUCUCUACUUUCAAAAUUAAUAGCAUCAGUUUAAACUAGAAAAUUACUCAACAGAAUAUCAGUCUUAUUAUCACAAGGUACAGAUGGUUAUGUGGUAGACAUUCUAGAUGACUGUUUAUACCAAAACUUUGAAGGCUUCUCUCAAAUUGAUGGCACCAUGUCAAAAAAACAUGAAUUUAAAAACAAACAAAAGAACUACUUAUUCCAUCCUGCAGAUGAGUGAAAGUGAUUGAGCAUUAUUUAAUGUAUUAAAAUAUUGAUACUGAAAUUAACUGUAAAAUUUCUCAAGUUAAUAUAGUUUGAGCCUGAGGUAGUGAAAUAAAACAAAAGAUCACUGAUGACCAAAACUUAUAAGAAAUAUAAAAGUGACUUCCAUAACGUAUUAGGUCAUAACAGUACAGCUGAACACUUAGUUCUUAUUGAGUAACCAGGACUAAGGUUAGUAGAAUCCAUCCUUCUCCAGGUUUUACACUUAGGCUUAAAUUUUGUGCUGAAAAUUAACAAAAUACUUAUUGUUUUUAGUGUUGCUUCUAGCUACCUGAUAUGUUGUUUCUACUUCUAAUUUGCUUUGCUAAUUUACAUCACAGCAAAGUCUUUGCUAUGAAACCAAUGAAGUAUUGGUGAUAGGAAAUGAACUGAACAUGUCCUGGCUGAUUAUCUUGUGCCAAUCAUAGGUAUAAUACAAUAGAACAUGCAGACUCUGACACCACAUCCAACACAUGUUCUUGCUUACAUCGAAUAUACUAAUCCACAUUCAUUCAUUCACACUGUAUAUCUGGGAAAGCUAUGUAGGCAAUUAAUUAAUGAUGAUCCUUUCUAGUGAUGUUUCAAUACACACCUACACAGUAUACAAAUUAACAGUAAUGAUAGCUAAUUUUGACCUAACAUUCAACCAAUCCUUCUUUGCAAUAAAUAUACAUAUUGUCAACCAUAAAUCAAUAAACAGUUAAUGCUACCGACAACUUCAAACUGGUUAAUAUAAUCUCUAGUAAUUGAAUCAAGCAUAAGUGAGACUGAAGCCUAACAAUUUACUCAAUUCUUCCAAUACAGAAAUAUAUACAUACAUCUUUUGACGUUUAUUUGUUUCAGUCAUUAGAUUGUGGCUAUGUUGGGACCCCGCCUUGAAGAACUUUUAGUCAAACGAAUCAACUCCAGUACAUUUUUUUUUCAAAGAGCCUCAUUCUAUCAUACUCUUUUGACAAACUGCUAAGUUAUGAGGACAUAAACACACCAACAUCAGUUGUCAAGCAGCGGUGGAGCCAAAGAAAAAACAAAGACACACAGAUAUGUAUAUAUACGGUUUGCCAAAAGUCACCUGACAGUAAAUCAAAAUUCCAUAAAUACUAUCUGUAAUUUUGUAUUAUCACGUCAUCCCAUAAGUUCUGUCCGAAUUUUGAAUAAAGAAAACAAGUGAUCAAAUGUUAUAUUUAAUUGAAAUUUAAUCAUCAAUGUACUUUCCCUGAUUAACUAUGACUUCCUUCCAUCUAUUUACAAGCUUUUUAAUCCCAUCAAUGUAAAACUCUUUUGGUUUCAAAGCGAAGAACUCUGAAAUGUCAGUUUCGACCUCCUCCUGGCUUGUGGAAGCUAUGUCCCCCAAAUGACUCUGUAAAGUAUGAAACAAAUGGUAGUCUGAAGGAGCAAGGUUGGGAGAAUAAGGUGGAUGAGGAAUUUUUUCCCAACCAAGCUCUUCGAUCUUCUGUGAUGCAAUCUUUGCAGUGUGGGGUCGCGCAUUGUCCUGAUGAAACAUCAUUCCUUUUCGAUUAACUAAAGCAAGUUUUUUUUUCUUCAAAGCUUGGUUCAAAUGCUCUAAUUGCUGACAGUAGACUUGAGCAUUGAUUGUUGCAUUAGGUGGUAACAAUUCAAAGUGAAUUACUCCUUUGCAAUUCCACCAGAUAAAAGAAACUUUUUCCCAUGAAGUUCCCUUCUUGGUUGUGGUUGAGCUUUUUCCUUUUUACCAAGCCACUGUUUAUGAUGUUUAACAUUUUGAUAGAAGAUCCAUUUUUCCUCACCAGUCACAAGUCUAUCCAGAAUGGAUGAAAUGAGUUCACAGGAAUGGAGUGAAGAGCAGAUGUCAACUCAGGAUUUGCGGUUGCUUUCGGACAAUUCAUGAGGCACCCAUUUUCCAAGGUUAGGAAACUUUGCAAGUUGUUGAAGAUGACAAUGAACAGUUGUAUGGUUUGAACUAAGCUUUAUUACCAAUUCUUCAACUGAUAAUGCAGAUUUUUCUUCAAGUAAUGCCUCAAGGAGCUUAUCAUCAAACUCAACUGGACAUCCUGUUCAAUCUUCAUCGUCAAGGCUGAAAUCUCCACUUUUGAAUUUUGCAAACCAUCUUCUGCAAGUUCUUUCAUUCAAGCAUUCUUUCCCAUAAACUGAGAGUAUGUUUUGAGUCACUUCAACUGCAGAGUUUCCUUUUUUGUUCUCAUAAAGCAUUAUGUGCCUCAAAUGCUCUUUGGAUACUUCCAUGUUAGAAAGGGUUUUAAUCAAAGAAAUUUUAAUUCUAUCAUUCUGUAAAAUAAUAUUUAAUUAGUUUAAAUGUACGCAAAUGCAUAAGUAUAAUUUUUAAUUCAAUUAGACAUUCUAAAAUACUAUUAAAUUUCAUUCAAUUUUAAAAAAGGUAAAAUUGGGCAGAACUUAUGGGAUGACCUGAUAAAUGGAAAAAUGUGUCACUCAAGACGGACUUCAGUUUGAACAAUUUUCAUGAUGUUUCAUGUUUAGAUGAUUUUAUUAAAUUCAUUCAGUUGUUAAACAUAAAUAAAUCUUGGAAUUUCAUUUACUGUCAGACAGCUUUUAGCCAACCUUGCAUAUAUAUAUAUAUAGGGAUCAAAACAGUUUGACAAAAGCUCCUUGGUACUCAGAGUUUCCGGCUUGAUGCUAAAUUUCAGCCAUGGGAGUUUAAAAGCUUAGCAUCACACUUGAAACUCAAAGAGUUGGAAUCAAACUAUUUUAAUCCAUACUGGCAAGCAAAAUUCUUACCACAUAGCAUGCCUAUAUAUAUAUGUGUGUGUGUGUGUUUUAAUCAUAGUAAUUAUAAUUAAAUUUAUGCAUUGUCAUUCUCAUCAGUGUGAAGAAUCUUUUGAAGAACAUCAAGAAAGUAUAAUAAGAUGAAAUAGAAUAAAAUAAAACAAAAAUAAAAACAAAAUAAGAUACAAUAAGAGAACACAUAUGGGGCAGUAAGGGAAAAUCGGAUAAUUUACAAACCAAGUUGUGAAAGGGAAAAAUAAUGAUAACAAUAAUAAUAGUGAGAAAGACGAAAAAAAUACUAUGAUUAGAACUUUUUUCUUACACAUUUGCAUUGUUUUUCGAAACGUACAUAUGCAUUAAAUCUAGUUUUGUAAUAAAUCUAUUUCUGAUUCAACAUUUUUCUCCAUGCACGCACGCACACAUCUAAUAUACACACAUACCGUUUUUUUGUUGUAGAUGUCUGUUGUGAUGAUGGAGUUGUGUAUCUUGAAGUUGAUGUCUAGGAAGGGAAGUUCAUUGUAGUUGGUAUCUAUUGUGAAGUUGAUAGAUGGGUGCAGUGUGUUGGGGAUGUUAUGGAAUGUUCAUAGAUCUUCUGAUCUGUUCCAAAAGUUGAAACAGUCAUCGCGGUAGCGUUUCCACUUUUUCUUAAUGUCUACUCUAAAGUCGUGUUCGAAGACUUUCCCUAUUUCAUCAUAUAGUUUAUUCUCAAGGAAAAACCGACACACACCAAUACUUAAAUUUUUACUCCUGCCACCCAUCCCACAUAAAAAAGAAACAUCCCAUAUAGUAUGGCAAGACGCAUAGUGACUGACUCACAAACACACCAAAUAAAACUAAAUGAACUAAAAAACUUCCUACUAGAACAGAAAUCCCCUCUCAAAUUAAUAAAAAACGGAAUCUCAAGAGCAAUGAAACUGGACAUCACACAACUCAGAACUCAAAAAAAGAAAAACAAAGAAAACAUCAUCCCUUUCAUAAACACACAACCCUGGAGUUAGCAACAUGUUUCAAAUUAUACAUUCAAACUUACCAAUAGUCCUACAAAGCCCCAAAAUGGGAAACAUAUUAAACAAAUAUUGCAUAAAUAACAGUAAACACCAAGAGAAAAACCUGAAGAAAUAACUAACAAGGGCAAAAUUCUCAUCAGAGAAUAAAACCGAAUUCUUUGUAUAAGAGUGGGGAGAUGGUAGAUGUGGGAUCUGCAGUAACCCCAUCGACAAAUAUAUAGAGGGAAACAAACAAACAAAAUUUAAGAGUGGUCACACAUUCAAAGUAAAUGCAGACACGAAUGCAAGACACAGAACAUAUAUAUUGCAUAACCUGUCCCACAUGCAAGGGGGAUUAUAUAGGCGAAACUGGAUAUUCUUUAUGCCAAUGAGCCAGAAUUCACCGACAUGUCCGACAGGAGGAACUGCAAAAGAUUCCACUGAGUAAACACUUAGAAAUAUGUGGAGAAGGAAAAUUUAAGAGCUUUCCCUUCUAUAAAUGCCCAGGAAAAAUAUGGAACAAUACUUCAUAACAAAGUUCUCCCCCAAACUGAAUGGCUGAAAAUAUGAAAAGCACAGCAACUUGCCUAUAGACCUAUCUAGAACUAUUAGCUUUGUCUGUAUAAUAAUGUCCUCACAAUGUACAAGAAAUUGUAUGCAUAUGUUUCAUCAAACUCCACAAGACACUUUCCCUUGUACAUUAUUACCCAUCCUAAUAUCUUCAUUUUUGUAAAGAAUUGUUCCUUAUCUUCAUUCCUCUUGAAAUAUAUAUAUAUAUAUAUAUAUAUAUAUAUAUAUAUUUGUGUGUGUAUAUAUAUAUAUAUAUUUGUGUGUGUAUAUAUAUAUAUAUAUAUAUAGCUGUGACUGGUGAAAUAUCACUACUUCUGUAAUGAUUUGUACUAGAUGAAGGACCAAUUUUGUAAAAUAAACUGUAAUUUUGUAUUAAACACACACACAGUACUGUACAUAUACAUAAAUAGAAACAAUCUUACAUCCAGAUUUUCCAACCCAUACCAGCACGAAGAACCAAACAUUGGACAAGGAUGAUGAUGAUGAUAAUAAAUCCAUACAAUAUUUUGAAAAAUAACUUUUAUUAACCAACUUGUCAUCUUCUAUUGAAAUAACUGAACAGCUGUAUAGAUGUAAACACAAUUUUUUCUUCUAUCAGUAGACCCCACCCCUUAGAGUAGCCACCUGGUUUUGCCAUUUUUAAAGGCCAAGAAUCAACUCAUCACUUUCUAUUGAAAGAACUGACCAGCUGUAAAGAUGUAAACACAUUUUUUUCUUCAUUCUCUCUUCCCUUCACUUUUCCAUUGACACUCCUUUCAGAUACACAGACACACACACUCUCUCUCACUUUCUCCCCAUUCCUCACCCUCUUUUACUAUCUUAUAUCUCUCCCUACCCCCAC
rnacentral:lncRNA from 1 species